rnacentral:rRNA from 1 species
UACGUAGGUGGCAAGCGUUGUCCGGAAUUAUUGGGCGUAAAGGGCGCGCAGGCGGCCGAUUAAGUCUGAUGUGAAAUCCCACGGCUUAACCGUGGAAGGUCAUUGGAAACUGAUUGGCUUGAGUGCAGAAGAGGAAAGUGGAAUUCCCAGUGUAGCGGUGAAAUGCGUAGAUAUUGGGAGGAACAUCAGUAGCGAAGGCGACUUUCUGGGUCACACCUGACGCUGAGGUACGAAAGCGUGGGGAGCAAACGGG